rnacentral:rRNA from 1 species
AACGAACGCUGGCGGCAUGCCUAACACAUGCAAGUCGAACGAGAUCUUCGGGUCUAGUGGCGCACGGGUGCGUAACGCGUGGGAAUCUGCCCUUUGGUUCGGAGUAACAGUUGGAAACGACUGCUAACACCGGAUGAUGACGAAAGUCCAAAGAUUUAUCGCCAGAGGAUGAGCCCGCGUAGGAUUAGCUAGUUGGUGUGGUAAGGGCGCACCAAGGCGACGAUCCUUAGCUGGUCUGAGAGGAUGAUCAGCCACACUGGGACUGAGACACGGCCCAGACUCCUACGGGAGGCAGCAGUGGGGAAUAUUGGACAAUGGGCGAAAGCCUGAUCCAGCAAUGCCGCGUGAGUGAUGAAGGCCUUAGGGUUGUAAAGCUCUUUUACCCGGGAUGAUAAUGACAGUACCGGGAGAAUAAGCUCCGGCUAACUCCGUGCCAGCCGCCGCUGUAA